GCCCCAGUAACGGCGAGUGAAGCGGCAACAGCUCAAAUUUGAAAUCUGGCCCCCAGGGUCCGAGUUGUAAUUUGCAGAGGAUGAUUUUGGCGAGGUGCCUUCCGAGUUCCCUGGAACGGGACGCCACAGAGGGUGAGAGCCCCGUCUGGUUGGACGCCGAGCCUAUGUAAAUCUCCUUCGACGAGUCGAGUAGUUUGGGAAUGCUGCUCUAAAUGGGAGGUAUAUGUCUUCUAAAGCUAAAUAUUGGCCAGAGACCGAUAGCGCACAAGUAGAGUGAUCGAAAGAUGAAAAGCACUUUGAAAAGAGGGUUAAAUAGUACGUGAAAUUGUUGAAAGGGAAGCGCUCAUGACCAGACUUGGGCCCGGUGAAUCAUCCAGCGUUCUCGCUGGUGCACUUUGCCGGGCUCAGGCCAGCAUCAGUUUGCCCCGGGGGAUAAAGGCUUUGGGAAUGUGGCUCCUCCGGGAGUGUUAUAGCCCAUUGCAUAAUAUCCUGGGGCGGACUGAGGUUCGCGCAUCUGCAAGGAUGCUGGCGUAAUGGUCAUCAGCGACCCGUCUUGAAACACGGACCAAGGAGUCGUCUUCGUAUGCGAGUGUUCGGGUGUAAAACCCCUACGCGUAAUGAAAGUGAACGCAGGUGAGAGCUUCGGCGCAUCAUCGACCGAUCCUGAUGUUCUCGGAUGGAUUUGAGUAAGAGCAUACGGGGCCGGACCCGAAAGAAGGUGAACUAUG
rnacentral:rRNA from 1 species